rnacentral:rRNA from 1 species
UACGGAGGAUGCGAGCGUUAUCCGGAUUUAUUGGGUUUAAAGGGUGCGUAGGCGGGAUAAUAAGUCAGCGGUGAAAGUUUUCGGCUCAACCGGAAAAUUGCCGUUGAAACUGUUGUUCUUGAGUGCAGAAGAGGUAGGCGGAAUUCGUUAUGUAGCGGUGAAAUGCGUAGAUAUAACGAAGAACACCAAUUGCGUAGGCAGCUUACCAUACUGCAACUGACGCUGAGGCACGAAAGUGUGGGUAUCAAACAGGAUUAGAUACCCGUGUAGUCCCU